UACGGGGGGGGCAAGCGUUGUUCGGAUUUACUGGGCGUAAAGGGCGCGUAGGCGGCCUCCGCAAGUCAAUUGUGAAAUCUCCGGGCUUAACUCGGAAAGGUCAACUGAUACUGCGGGGCUAGAGUGCGGAAGGGGCAACUGGAAUUCUUGGUGUAGCGGUGAAAUGCGUAGAUAUCAAGAGGAACACCUGCGGCGAAGGCGGGUUGCUGGGCCGACACUGACGCUGAGGCGCGAAAGCUAGGGGAGCAAACAGG
rnacentral:rRNA from 1 species